UCCUAGCUGUAAACGAUGUGGACUUGGCGUUGGUGGUGUCAAAGCCAUCAGUGCCGGAGCUAACGCGAUAAGUCCACCGCCUGGGGACUACGACCGCAAGGUUAAAACUCAAAGGAAUUGGCGGGGGCCCGCACAAGCAGCGGAGCGUGUGGUUUAAUUCGAUGCUACACGAAGAACCUUACCCGGGUUUGACAUCCAGGUGGUAGGGAACCGAAAGGCGACCGACCCUUCGG
rnacentral:rRNA from 1 species